rnacentral:lncRNA from 1 species
UGGCUUCUAUCUUCAAACUCCCAACUCUCUGAACCCCCAUCCCCGCGGACCACACAAAAUGGAUUGCGGUCGCGAAUAGGCUACUGCGACCGCAAGAAAUCCUCCACGGACCGCACUGGUUGAAGGCCCCAAAAGUGCAACUUUCUGAACUUUUCCACCGCUGACCGCACUAAAUGGUCUGUGGCCGAGAACAGAGAAAUGGAUGAAGAAUAACCCAUAUGAUUUUAUUACAAACUAAGAUAAUGAAGAUUCAGUUUUAAUCUAGCUACAAAUUAGUUAAAAUGGAACUAAAAUGUUGUUCACGUGCUCUGGUCUCUAACAUAUUACAAAAGAUGCCCUAAAAUGUGAAAAGAAAGUAUUUAUACUAGACCGAAUUUUCUGGACAAAAAUACCCCUGACGGAGGUACUGCGGUCCGCAUAAAAUGCAUUGCGGACCGCGAUGAGGCUUCUUGGCUUGAUUAUUCAUUCUCUGAAUCUGGCCAUCGCGGGCCGCAUAAAAUUCACCGCAGCCGCGGUGGCUUCAACUGCGAUCCACACAAAAAAGACCGCGGACCGCAUUGACUUCUAUCUUUAAACUCCCAACUCUCUGAACCCCCCUCUUUGCGGACCGCACAAAAUGGAUUGUGGCCGCGAAGAGGCUACUGCGACCGCAAGAAAUCCUCUGUGGACCGCAUUGGGUGAAGGCCGAAAAGUGUAACUCUCUGAACUUUUCCACCGUGGACCGCACUAAAUGGUCUGCGGCCGUGGUGGGUCCUUUGGGACUAUAGUGGAUUUUAUGUUGCACCAGUGCCUUGACUUGUUCUUGGUACUUGUGCAUGUUUCACUUCUUUUUGAGCUGGUUUUUACUACUUGUCACUUUUUAUUGACCAAACCCUGCAAACAAGUACAACAUGUAAGCCUUUGGGACUAUUUAUAUACAUUUUUAAUCCAAAACUCAAGUAAAAAGGAGUGUAAAAUGAACUCGAAUCCCUAGUUAUCAAAGCCGUGGAAGAGUGAAUCAGCACCUGCAGCUAACAAGCAUCAAGGUUCAAAUCAAAGUCUGCAUGAAGAACCGUUCAAAACUCAAGAUCUAUCUUCGGAAGACUUAUAGAUAGGAAUCUUGUAAUUCAUAGCUGACAGGCUUAGUUAAUCUUUUUCAUUUUUAAUUUUGAUGUAAUAAUAGGACCACAGACCAGAGCCUCGACGGAAUCUCAUUCCACUUCCUCGUCCUCUUCACAUACUCCAUCACUCCAUUCACUUCUGACCUAUACGUGGCCUGUUUUCUUUAUAGCUAAGGAUAUGUAGGCAGCUCAGAUACCAGGGCUCAGUCACAUUCUCUUUUGUUUUGGUCUCUCUAAAUAAGGGUUGGGUCAAAAAACCUGUCUCAUCGUUCUUUGUCUGAAAACUCUUCGUGUUUCCAAUCAAAGAGGAACAGCUGUAAACAUGUAAUUUUUGACCCGCCACGUCUUCAAGCUAUAUUAGAAGUUUUGCAUAUUUUAUAUAUUUAUUUGAGUUAUUUGAAUUUUUCUAGAAUUCUAAUAUACUAUUUUUAUUUUUAUUUUAUUUAGUAUUUAAAAAAAAUCAAAAACAGAAAAAUAGUUUCAAGUCUAUUUAAUUUAAGGUUAAUUAGUACUUAAUGUAGUAAUAUUAUUUUCACCUAUUUUAUCUAUUUUUAUUUUUAUAUAAUCUUGAAAAAAUACCAAAAAAUAAUUUCACCAAAUAAUAUUAUUUAUUUUAAUUAAUUAAAGCUAGUUAUGUAUUUUAUAGUAUAGAUUUUACAGUCCGCGAAACACAGAAAUUCGGGUAAGGAAUUCUGUUAACCCGGGAGAAUGUGUUAGGCAUUUUCGGGUUCCGUAGUUUUAGCACGGUCACUCAACUAUUAAUAAUUGACCUAAUUAUCUAAUUUAAUACAUAAUUAAAACCUGUUGUGCAUUUUUUACCUUUUAGCCUCUUUUAAUGUUUAUGGAAUUAUUUUCUGGAACAAGGUACGAUGUCAUAUACAUGUUAUUUUGGUACACAUUACAAACCGCAUCACAUGAAAUACAACCCGCGAUUUAUAACAUAUCUAAUUUAUUAUUGUUUGGAAUUAUAAGGUCGAGUCACGUGAAAUGCACGCUCGAAUGGGAUUUAUGUAUCGCGACCAUGCCACGGGAACCGUACCCAUGGCCAUGAUGAUUUAUUAAUUAUGCCUGAAGCAAACUACGACGUUCAUAAUUAUCGUCCUAAACUAAUUUGGGAUUGUUGUAAGGCCGGGAUUUAUGGAAUUAUGAAGUUUAAACUUGGACAAAAUUUGAUUUAUUAAGACUAAUUUGAUAGAUUCCGACGUACUGCAGUAUUUGCGAAGGAAAGGUCUCCUAAAGAGUCUAAGUCAAUUACUUCCUAAAGCUCUUUCUUUACUUAAUCUUAACUCCAAUCACUAAAAUUAAUAUAACUCAUGAGUUAAAAUAAGUCCAUAACAUAAAUACGUAAAUUCACAACCACAAACAUUCGUUAAAAUAUUUUUGGGAUAAAUUAAAAUACCAAAAAGAAUAAUGAAACAGAAAGGAAAAUUAUCACAAAAUCAAGAUAAUGGACCAACCAAAAAAACGAGUAUUUUACUAAAAUAACAAUACAACCCAACGUAGUAUGAAACAUAUUCAACGUAGUAUGGAACAAAAUCUGGGAUCACUUAUAAACCCACACUUAUUCGUAUUAGGCAAGUUAAAUCAACAGUUUAUUUCAAUUAAUUUUAUAUAGAAUAUGAAGGCGUGAAACCUCAUCUCAGAACGACCAUAAUUCUAGGCAUGAAAGAAAAGGGAAGAAAGAGAUGAACCUGAAAUUACAACUUUCGAUUAACUUUCGGCUUUGAAUAUACAAUAAGAAAACCGGCGUUGAAAUUCGUGCAUCCAGUAGCAAACAGACAAAAAAAUGAUAAAAAUGAAUUUGGAACCACAAUAAAGAACCUCACGAGCAGUUGACGUACCUCAGCCGAAAAUCUUCUCUUUUUUGGUCGUUCCCCUUCUUCCUCUUUUCUGUUUUGAUUUUAAUUUCCUUCCCCUUUGUCUCUCUGUUACCGUUCCUCUAUAUUCUUCUUUUUUUUUUCUUUUUGAUUGUCAUGUCUUUUUGGUCUUUGUUUUGUGCAGGUUAUGGCUACUGAGGUUUGUCGUUCUCUCUAUGCAAAGAGAUGAGAGGUCCGAUUUUGCGGGGGGGGGGGGGGGGUUGCCGUUCUGCUCUUUUUUUAGGUCCCCCGUCCAAUCCAAAUAGAUGAAAAUUUAAGGGGACGAUAUCUUAGGUCUCAGGGUUAGGUUGGUGGGUCAAUUGGGCCAUGGGGUAAUGGUGUAGGGCUGUCCGAAAUUCGGCC